UACGUACUGUGCGAACGUUUAUUCGGAAUCACUGGGCUUAAAGGGUGUGUAGGCGGCUAACUAAGUAGGGUGUGAAAGGCCUUGGCCUAACCAAGGCAUUGCGCUCUAAACUGGUUGGCUUGAGUAAGAUAGGGGUGUGCGGAACUUCCAGUGGAGCGGUGAAAUGUGUUGAUAUUGGAAGGAACGCCGGUGGCGAAAGCGGCACACUGGGUCUUAACUGACGCUGAGACACGAAAGCCAGGGGGAGCGAACGG
rnacentral:rRNA from 1 species